rnacentral:rRNA from 1 species
AUUGAACGCUGGCGGCAUGCCUUACACAUGCAAGUCGAACGGCAGCACGGGAGCAAUCCUGGUGGCGAGUGGCGAACGGGUGAGUAAAGUAUCGGAACGUGCCCAGUCGUGGGGGAUAACGUAGCGAACGUUACGCUAAUACCGCAUACGAUCUAUGGAUGAAAGCGGGGGAUCGCAAGACCUCGCGCGAUUGGAGAGGCCGAUAUCAGAUUAGGUAGUUGGUGGGGUAAAGGCUCACCAAGCCGACGAUCUGUAGCUGGUCUGAGAGGACGACCAGCCACACUGGGACUGAGACACGGCCCAGACUCCUACGGGAGGCAGCAGUGGGGAAUUUUGGACAAUGGGCGCAAGCCUGAUCCAGCCAUGCCGCGUGCAGGAUGAAGGCCUUCGGGUUGUAAACUGCUUUUGUACGGAACGAAAAGGUUUGGCCUAAUACGCUGAACUCAUGACGGUACCGUAAGAAUAAGCACCGGCUAACUACGUGCCAGCCGCCGCCGUAA